rnacentral:misc_RNA from 1 species
UGUUAUCUACUGACUGUGAACAUGGACCCUGAGUCAGAGAAAUAUUAUAUGGAGGAACUAGAGAAACAACACAAGGCAGACUUGGAGGUCAAGGCCAUUUUACAGGAUUUCGAAGCUAGACAUGAAGUCAUGGCAACAAUCAUCAGUGAUGUUUCUUCCGGACAGGCUGCCAUGGCGACAAACAUCAGUGAUAUAACAAACAGACAGGAAGUCAUGGCAACAGACGUCAGUGCGGUUUCCGCUAGACAGGCUGUCAUGGCAACUAACAUAAACAAUAUUACAACAAGACAGGAAACCACAACAAGAGAUAUGGAUCACUUAAAAGAUGAUGUCGCUGCCAUUAAAGACACAGUGAAUGUCAUAUCAGCGAACACCAGUCACGUCAAAGAAAUCCAUCCUGACUUAAAACCAAUGAUAGGGAUUGAACUCCGGACCACUGGCUUACUAGUCUGACCCUCUACUGUUCGGGCAAUUUUUGGAUCUUUAGCUUAUUCAGUAGCAUGCCAAACCAGUAAACCAGAGAACCUCGGUCGAUUUAUAGCAGAAGCAUAUUAUUGGAACAUAGCACAAUAAACAGCUGAAGCAAGAAUUAACAAAGAAAAAGAGAAUUUGUUUUACCCCA